rnacentral:rRNA from 1 species
UACGUAGGGUGCGAGCGUUAAUCGGAAUUACUGGGCGUAAAGCGUGCGCAGGCGGUUUGGUAAGUCAGAUGUGAAAUCCCCGGGCUCAACCUGGGAACUGCAUUUGAGACUGCCAAGCUGGAGUUUGGCAGAGGGGGGUGGAAUUCCACGUGUAGCAGUGAAAUGCGUAGAGAUGUGGAGGAACACCGAUGGCGAAGGCAGCCCCCUGGCCAAUACUGACGCUCAUGCACGAAAGCGUGGGGAGCAGACAGG